rnacentral:tmRNA from 1 species
GGGGGCGAAUGGCUUCGACCGGAUGACGGAUGGUCAAGUUGCAUGCCCAGGACGCCGGUUGGCCUGGUUAAUCAUCCGGCACCUAAAUGUUAAAUGGCAACUCUCAGUUGCGCAUGGCGGCCUAAUUAGGCCACCCGUCCUGUCAGGCUUUGCCUGUGAGCCUGGCAAGGGCGCCAAAAAGCAGGCUUAGCCCUUUCGGACGUCCGGGCCGCGAGGGCGAAGUCGCACCGGAAUAGCCGAUCCCAGAGCCUGUCGCUCGGCGCUGGGCGAGGCGAAAUCCCAAAAGAACGACUACGCAUGUAGACGCUUGGCUUGAAACAUCUCGGGACGGGGGUUCGAAUCCCCCCGCCUCCAAUU